AUGGUGGCUUGGUGGUAGAGCACUUGCCUAGCAUGCAUGAAGCCCUGGGUUCAAUUCCUCGGUACCAUA
rnacentral:tRNA from 1 species